AAGGGGCGUAUAUCUAAGGCCAUCAGAAGACGACCAGAUUCCGUAACACAGCCAAAUUCCUCCUCGGCCAGAUGCAUUUCGUCUACUCAAAAAGUGAUGACGUCAGAGCGCGUGACUGGCAGUGGCGACAGUGACACACAAAGCAGCCAUUUAUAGCCGGGUGUUGGUAACAGAGAAUGGCAACAAGGCGAGAGGGUGGUAGUGCGCGCAGAGGGGCUUUACGGUGCAAGCUUGAUGGCCCGCCCACUCUCAAUACGCCAGCCUUUGUUGCGGAACUGAACCUAAAUUUUACAUAACGCGGAGUUUUGAAGAUCAAAUUCAGAGGUGACAGCAAUCCUCUCUCGUAAAUUAAAGAACGAUCUGUGUACUUGUAAAUCGAUAAUACGUAUCUCACGGAUGUGUAAAUAAGUAAACUUCGUGAUGCAUAUUUCCUUUGGAGUACGCACAAACAAAAAUGUCGAUUGUAGUCAUCAGUCGAAAACUUGCGAUUAAAAAGGGGAGAGUUACGAAGAAGUGAGAUCCUAGCGAGCUAUAUACUGCAUGGUGUCGAAAAUAAAUCAGAAAUGGCAACUAACAAAAGAAAAACAAUGUUUAAACCAGCCUGUGUUGUGACAAUUACCCAUGGGGAUAUUCAUGCAAACAAAGGUUCUUGCUGUGGAAUUCUGAUUGAUACAUCCAUUGGGUAUGUUCUUUCUCAUGGCUCCAUUCUUGCUUCUUGUCUUCUAAAAGGAUUGAGGUUAAAUCAGGGAGAACAUACGUUAAACACUUUCAUUAAUAAUAAGAACCUGAUGUGUGAAGUUCUUGCUGAGGAAUCUCCAGACUUGUGGAAUUCUAACCAGACUGGAAACUUGCAUGAAACUCCGUCUAUUGAAACUGCAGUAACAAGUGUUUCAACUGACAAUCAGAUUUCAAAAGACCUGCAACACAUCAAGUGGAGAAGUGACGUGCACUCUUUUGUCAGUUUUUCUGCUAGCAUUGUAGACAUUUUUAAGUGUUCAGCAUUCCAAAGUGCUUUGGAACGGCUGAUGCCAGAUUCCUCCUGGGAACUGGUGGAUAGGAAGGGUGAAAAACAAAAUUCAGAUGAUGCAGUUCUGGAUGACACUCAGAACCAGGACAUGCACAGCUUAUUGAGUUAUUUUGUUUUGUUGAAGCUACAUAACUGGACUCCAUACAAAAGUAAAGAGGUAGUUCGUCCUGCAGAGUACUGUCAGAUUGGUGAACAGGUAGAAAUAUGUUCUACUCCGUUUGGUGGUUUUAAACCAGAAGCAUUCCUCAACUCUUAUAGUCAUGGAAUAAUCAGUAACUUAGCAGGAAGGGACAAUUGCCUCAUUUUAUCUGAUGCAAGAUGCAUUCCUGGUGGAGAAGGAGCCCCACUCUACACCAUAAUCCAUUCCAAAAGAUAUCUGACAGGUAUUGUUGUAGCAUCUCUGUGCUGGAAGAAUGAUGAAUGGAUUGGCUUUUGCAUCUCAUGUGCCAUUGAUAAAAUUUUAGACAGUCUGCCAACUGAUAAAAUGAGUUGUAUUCACCGUUACAUCAGGGGAGUUCCACCUUCUGAUGGUGGAGAGAGAUCUUUAUUAGGGUAUAUGCCCUUAUUUCCUGUCACUGUGCUGCUGCAAGUUGGAAAGACGUGGGGCUCAGGGGUGAUAAUAGGCAAGAAGGAACGGCUGGUUCUGACAUGCAGUCAUGUUAUAAAGGAUGCUAACUUGUUCCCAGUUGAGGCAAAGAUUGGUUCUGAUGACAGGCUUAUCAAGACAGAGGUUAUACAUCGACAGCAUCCUUUGCACCAUCAAUUUGAUCUAGGCCUUGUCAGACUUUCUUGUGGAGAACAACAGCUUGGCAUGCAGAAAGAUGUUGUAGAAUGUGCCAAGCCUACUGUUGGAAUGAAAGUUUUUGCAGUUGGCUAUGGUGUUUUUGGCGCUGAGCACAAUCUUGCACCCUCUGUGACCUCAGGGGUCAUCUCAAAAGUAUUGCAUUUUAAACACAUUCCAGUGAUGGUUCAGAUUCACUAGCCAAGAUACAUGUGUCUGCAGACUACAUGCGCUGUACAUCCAGGAGCUAGUGGGGGCGCUCUGGUUGAUGGUUUGGGGCGUUUGCUGGGUAUCAUUGUCUGCAAUACGAGGGAUAACUCAUCUGGAGCUAGUUUUCCACA
rnacentral:misc_RNA from 1 species